GACGAACGCUGGCGGCGUGCUUAACACAUGCAAGUCGAACGGAAAGGCCCUGCUUUUGUGGGGUGCUCGAGUGGCGAACGGGUGAGUAACACGUGAGUAACCUGCCCUUGACUUUGGGAUAACUUCAGGAAACUGGGGCUAAUACCGGAUAGGAGCUCCUGCUGCAUGGUGGGGGUUGGAAAGUUUCGGCGGUUGGGGAUGGACUCGCGGCUUAUCAGCUUGUUGGUGGGGUAGUGGCUUACCAAGGCUUUGACGGGUAGCCGGCCUGAGAGGGUGACCGGCGACAUUGGGACUGAGAGACGGCGCAGACUGCUACGGGAGGCAGCAGUGGAGAAUAUUGCACAAUGGGCGGAAGCCUGAUGCAGCAGCGCCGCGUGCGGGAUGACGGCCUUCGGGUUGUAAACCGCUUUGGCCUGUGACGAAGCGUGAGUGACGGUAAUGGGUAAAGAAGCACCGGCUAACUACGUG
rnacentral:rRNA from 1 species